CUCCCAAGCUUUUUCCCUCCAAGUGGCUGUGCAGUUCUGUCCUGCUGACUGCUAACAUAGCUUCAUCUCUUCAAAAGACAAGACAACAGGUAUCUUCCACCAAGAUGUCUGUUGAAAUGGAAAUGACCUUACCCACUACACCAAGGGUAAUCAUCAUGGAAAUAGCUCGAUGUCUGCAACCCGGUGGAUGGUCAGUAUGGAGGAGAAGGUAUUUUUCCAGCCUGAGCAACUACAUGACUUUGCCAGCGUCCUUGCUGUCUUUCUUGGGUCAUAUUCUGUCUUCAAUCUGGAGUAUCAGGAGUCAGCAUCCACCACGCUGGAGAUGAUACAACGGCAAGUACUCUACACCAAGCCAUUUAUGAAUUAAAUUUAAUGACAGUUUGACUGAUGAUGAAGAACCAUAGCUGAUUGCUGUAUUGUACGUCUUCAUUAAAAAAUACAAUUAAUAUAUUUUAUUUCUGUUAAAAGAUUCCUUGUGAGGAUCAAUCCAGAUGUUGGUACCAAAUGCACAGCCAAAGUUGGUACAAGCCGCAAGACGGGAAGUCUUGUCAAGAGGAAAGUAGUCAGUGUCAACUCCCAGAUCACCACCUUCUUCCAACAACUUGCUGAAUUUGAAUGGAGGACUUCCAACUAGUUCAGCUUCCACAAGAUGGAUCCCACUGAUUUUGUUUGAC